ACCUACACAAGUGUGGGGUGUGAUCAGAAGGGAACAGGUGGAAGGAGGACUUGGCCCCAUCAUGCAGAGCAGCCACAAUGCACUCCUUUGGGACCACAGCAAGCACCGAGUUCUCACAGAAGAUGCGGAAUAAUUGAAAUCUCCUUCUGGUGACCUUCAUCGUCUGACACACAACUUCUCUUCUGGCAGAGCUGACAGGCGGGCGACAGCACAGCCCCAUGCAGCCUCGCACAUGGAGAGACCCUUGUGCACAGGGCGUCUUUAUGCAGGCACCCCGACCACCAAGAAGCACUCCUGGGCUGCUCCAAGAGAGCAAUGGGAUGCAAACAGUCCAUCCCGAGGAAGCCUGAGGAGCAGCAUCAGCCACUCCACUGUCCGGAUUAAGCCUCACCAGCACCACCAUCUCCUCACCAGGCACUCGCCAAGGUCACUCCGGCCUCAGUUCAGAAGCUUCAUGCGCCAUACAUGCAGCCAGACUUUUGGUGGCACAGUAUUGGAAGAAGGAAGACUUACCUACUAUUGAAGAAUGGACAUUAAAAGUAGUGAAUUUAGCAGAGAUGGCAAAAAUUUCGGCAUACUUGAAGGACCAUUCAAAUGAAAGAUAUAUAUUGGAAUGGAGAAGAUGGAUUGACUAUAUUCAAAACAAAUAUCGGACUAAAAAGUUUCAAAUAGCCUAUGAAUGAAAUCAACCUUUUUCUUUUUGAAUUAUGUUUUGUUAGUUGAAAGGGGAGUCAAAGAGCAAGAGGGAGUUUAGAGCCUACAGAAAGUUAGCAUAUUUUAGUUUAUGUUUGUUAAAUGUUAUACCCUGUAUUUGC